rnacentral:lncRNA from 1 species
GGGCAUUCAAACAGUCGGUUCAGUUAUUAACCAAAUUGAAUUAGCAUUGAUCGAACUGUAUAAUCCUUUAACCAUUAACCAAAUCAAUUUUUUUUUCAAAAAAAAUUAACCGAACUGAAAUAUUUCGGUUAACUGAAAUUUAUAUGUUCUUGUCUUUUGGUUAAAACAAGUGUAAAACAUAUAAAAAAAUACAUUGAAAUUAACCGAAAUAUAUGUCUUUUUUUUCAAAGUUAACCAAAUUAACCGAAAUUUUAUGUCUUGAAACACUACAUAAUUAAAAACACUACAUAAGUCUUGAAAUUAACACAUAAUAUUAGUUGUUAAGUUUAGUUAAUUCAAUU